rnacentral:rRNA from 1 species
CAGCAGCCGCGGUAAAACGGAGGGUGCAAGCGUUAAUCGGAAUUACUGGGCGUAAAGCGCACGCAGGCGGUCUGACAAGUCAGAUGUGAAAUCCCCGGGCUUAACCUGGGAACUGCAUUUGAAACUGUCAGGCUGGAGUCUUGUAGAGGGGGGUGGAAUUCCAGGUGUAGCGGUGAAAUGCGUAGAGAUCUGGAGGAAUACCGGUGGCGAAGGCAAUCCCCUGGGCCUGUACUGACGCUCAUGCACGAAAGCGUGGGGAGCAAACAGGAUUAGAUACCCGGGUAGUCCCUGUCUCUUAUAA